rnacentral:lncRNA from 1 species
ACUGGGGCACCGAGAGGCGGCCGCGGACGACGGCGCGGGGGCCGGGGAGCAGGCGGCGGGCCGGGCGCGACCGCGGGGACACUCACCGUUUGGGGCGCGCGGGGCGGCCUCAUCCAGGGCACCUGCGGCCAGGCAGGACGGGCCCGGACGGCGCAGUCACCGACAGGGCGAGUCCGCCUGCCCUCCGGUGCGUCCCGUCCCCUCCGACUGCCCAGCGAGCGCAGCGUCGCUUCCUCCGGACGGAGCCCGGGGACCCCAGCUCCGCCGGAUGCCCCCGCCAGGCCCCCACCCCCUUCCCUGCCGCCUCCCCUUCUUCACCCGUUUCCCCUCCCCCCUCCCCCCAACCCCCACCAGAAUGGAAAAUACCUCCCGGGGCGGGGGGCGGGGGGCGGGCAGGGGCACGCCUCUCUGAAGGGCAGCCUACCGUGACCAAUAGCAGGCAGGGCUUUAGAGGGGCGGGAUUCCUAGCGGCCAAUCCGGAGGCGGUCUUAGGGAGAAGGAGAGGAAAGUGCUGAAUGGAGGGCGUGAGUGCCGAGUAGGAAAAUGUGAAUGAGUCUCUCCAGCGCCCUUCAGCAUGGAGCCACCCAGUUAGCAAGUUCCAAGAUCCACGGGAAACCGGGCACCUCCUGCAAUUCAAGUAUUCCUAUCCCCGCCCCCAGCUGCCACAAAAAUGACUCACAAAUCGGAGGGAGGGGUGUCGGUCUCCGUCGUUUUGUCUGCAUUUUAUAUGGAAGGGCCCCCUCCCUGGAAAUGGCUGAAAGGGUGGAGGAAGAGAAGCAUAGUUCACGCCUGCAAGGGCUCUUCCCGCUGGCUUUUUUUUUUUUUUUUUUUUUGGUAGACAGUGUCUUCCUGUGUUGCCCAAGCUAAUCUCGAACUCCUGGGUUCCAGGGAUCCUCCUACCCCGGCCUCCCCUCCCAAAGUGCUGGGGUUACAGGCGUGAACCACCAUGCCCGGCCCCACUAGUGUUUUAGAAACCUUGUCGUCGUUCACAAACGUACCGGUCACUUCUUAAGUGUUAGACAUAACCUUGAUCAUGUUCCAGCGCCUCAACUUAAUAAACCAAAAAGCUCUCCUG